AUGUUCAGAUACCAUUCCUCUCACUGGGUGGGUAUCCCCAGCCUUGUUUCCUGCCCUUCAGAGAGGACUAGUCCCUCAUCAAAAUGAAAGGUAAAGGUUUUAAUCCGCAAAAGACCGAGGCUUGCGGCAUGAUCUUCAUGUUUAUAAUCUUCUCGGACCUGUUUUUAUUUGUUUGUUUGUUUUUGUUUUGUUUGUUUUGUUUGUUUGUCUUUUUGCUUUGGGUUCAGGGUUGCAGAAGACAUGUAUCUUAUUUAGAGAAAGCCUUUUAAGUUUAGAACAUCUUAAAGUCACUGGCAUGGCAUAGUUGGGGAGAAAGAACCAGUAGUAAAUAGAUGGGUAGAUGAAGUGAGUGGAUGAACAGAGGGUAGUGGAGACAUGGUGAUGGAAACUUAGCCAGGUGGAAUCGCUGGCUAUGCAUGAGUGUAAGGCUAGAAGGAUGGAGAGGUGAGUGGACAGAUAAAUAGCGCUGUGUGUGGUGGUGGAGACCGAUGAAGGUGUAAAAGGAGAAGGUAUUUAUGUAUGGAUGAAUGAAGAAAUGACAGAUGGAAGAAAUGACAGAUGGGUAAGUCAAUGGGCAGACAGAUGUUGAGUAGGCUAGAUUGACAGGUGAUUGUUGGGUAGAUAGAUGGAUAGAUAUAUGAAUGGGUAGAGAGAUGAUGUAAAAGUCACUAGUGUCAACCUAACCCAAUAUAAAGGCACUGGGAAAGGGAGUCUUAAUGAAGUUGUCUUGAUCACAUUAUGUUAUAAGCAUGCCUAUGAGAGAUUUUUGGAAUUGAGUUUUGGUUGGAGUGAGCGGGGCCAUUCUGAAUUUUUAAUUAAAGGUACCAUUUUGUAGGCCACAGAGUGAAUGAAACCGGGAGAGAAAGCUGAACAGGCAUGGGUAUUCUAUUGCUCGAUGUUGAAGAAAUAUAAUACAUCACCCUGGAUAUAAAGUGAUCACUUCUCAAGCCACUGCUACUGGGACUUCCCUGUCAUGGUGGACUCUAACCUGGAGCCCCAGGCCAAAAAGGACCCUUCUUCCUUUAAGUGGAUUUUA
rnacentral:lncRNA from 1 species